GUGGGGAAUCUUGCGCAAUGGGCGAAAGCCUGACGCAGCCAUGCCGCGUGGAUGAUGAAGGUCUUAGGAUUGUAAAAUCCUUUCACCGGUGAAGAUAAUGACUGUAGCCGGAGAAGAAGCCCCGGCUAACUUCGUGCCAGCAGCCGCGGUAAUACGAAGGGGGCUAGCGUUGCUCGGAAUUACUGGGCGUAAAGGGAGCGUAGGCGGACAUUUAAGUCAGGGGUGAAAUCCCGAGGCUCAACCUCGGAACUGCCUUUGAUACUGGGUGUCUUGAGUGUGAGAGAGGUGAGUGGAACGCCGAGUGUAGAGGUGAAAUUCGUAGAUAUUCGGAAGAACACCAGUGGCGAAGGCGACUCACUGGCUCAUUACUGACGCUGAGACUCGCAAGCGUGGGGAGCAAACAGGAUUAGAAGCCCCGGUAGUCC
rnacentral:rRNA from 1 species